AGACUCGUGGUGUAAUGGUUAGCACUUCAGAUUUUGAUUCUGAUAGUUAAGGUUCGAACCCUUACGAGUCUA
rnacentral:tRNA from 1 species